rnacentral:rRNA from 1 species
GAUGAACGCUGGCGGCGUGCCUAAUACAUGCAAGUCGAGCGAAUGGAUUGAGAGCUUGCUCUUAUGAAGUUAGCGGCGGACGGGUGAGUAACACGUGGGUAACCUGCCCAUAAGACUGGGAUAACUCCGGGAAACCGGGGCUAAUACCGGAUAACAUUUUGAACCGCAUGGUUCGAAAUUGAAAGGCGGCUUCGGCUGUCACUUAUGGAUGGACCCGCGUCGCAUUAGCUAGUUGGUGAGGUAACGGCGCACCAAGGCAACGAUGCGUAGCCGACCUGAGAGGGUGAUCGGCCACCCUGGGACUGAGACACGGCCCAGACUCCUACGGGAGGCAGCAGUAGGGAAUCUUCCGCAAUGGACGAAAGUCUGACGGAGCAACGCCGCGUGAGUGAUGAAGGCUUUCGGGUCGUAAAACUCUGUUGUUAGGGAAGAACAAGUGCUAGUUGAAUAAGCUGGCACCUUGACGGUACCUAACCAGAAAGCCACGGCUAACUACGUGCCAGCCGCCGCCACAG